rnacentral:rRNA from 1 species
AUACGUAGGGGGCGAGCGUUGUCCGGAAUGAUUGGGCGUAAAGGGGGCGUAGGCGGCCCGGUAAGUCUGGAGUGAAAGUCCUGUUUUUAAGAUGGGAAUUGCUUUGGAUACUGUCGGGCUUGAGUGCAGGAGAGGUAAGUGGAAUUCCCAGUGUAGCGGUGAUAUGCGUAGAGAUUGGGAGGAACACCAGUGGCGAAGGCGACUUACUGGACUGUAACUGACGCUGAGGCGCGAAAGUGUGGGGAGCAAACAGGAUUAGAUACCCUGGUAGUCCACACUGUAAACGAUGAAUGCUAGGUGUAGGGGGUAUCGACCCCUUCUGUGCCGCAGUCAACACAAUAAGCAUUCCGCCUGGGGAGUACGGCCGCAAGGUUGAAACUCAAAUGAAUUGACGGGG